UACAGAGGGGGCAAGCGUUGUUCGGAAUUACUGGGCGUAAAGGGCGCGUAGGCGGCCUGCUAAGUCGAACGUGAAAUCCCCGGGCUCAACCCGGGAACUGCGUCCGAUACUGGCAGGCUUGAAUCCGGGAGAGGGAUGCGGAAUUCCAGGUGUAGCGGUGAAAUGCGUAGAUAUCCGGAGGAACACCGGUGGCGAAGGCGGCUUCCUGGACCGACACUGACGCUGAGGCGCGAAAGCUAGGGGAGCAAACGGG
rnacentral:rRNA from 1 species